UUUUGGACAAUUAAUCCAAAACUAAAUCCCAGCCUCCCCUUUGUUAUAUGGAGCAUUGUGGUACAAUUUGAGAGAGAUCCAUACAAUUACACACAAGUUAUUGUCUUGAAACUAGAAAAAUGCUUGUUUUUUGGCCCCUUUUUGGCCCUUAAUUCCUAACUUUGAACCCAUGACCCAUUUAAAUGAAUCCAAACCUUCUACGUGUGGUUUUAAACAUUGUGAUACAAUAUCAGAGCAAUUGAAAUACUUAUACACAAGUUAUUAUCCUUAAACUAUAAAAUGCUUGUUUUGGGCCCCUUCUGGGCCCUUAAUUCCUAAACGGUUGGGACCAUCAUCCCCAAAAUCGAUCCAAACCUUCCUUUUGUGGUAUUGAACCUUCUGAAAAAAAAUCAUAAAGAUCUAUACACUUAAACUAAAGUUAUUGUCCGGAAUAUAAGUCUACUUUGAUCAGUUUUAGUUAAAAUAUUAAGGGGCAAAAACUAUUACAAUUAGUGCAUUUUAUAGAUAUUUGGGAGCAUUUUUUUUACCAAUUUCCCAAUAUUUGCCAGGCUAAAUUUUUUUACUUGUCUUAGAACUGAUAUGCACCUUUAAAAAAAUCCUAAAAGUUGAAAAAAAUAAAUAUGAUCUUGAGAGAAAACACCUACUGAGUACAUGUACUACAUGCAAGUUAUCUAAUACAUCUGUUGCACGAACCUCUCUGGCAACCUGCCAAAAGGUAAAAAAAAUGUCAAAAUGCAUUUUUUCUUUUUUUUUAUAAUGUUCUUUGCAAAAUAUAACAAGAUAAUGCUAUAUUUAAGAGAUAUAUCAAUUAUCCAGACCUUUAAAAAGUACCUAAAUAUGGUGAUUUUUUUUGCAUUUUUUUUUUUUAAUAAUUCACAAAUAUGCAAAUAAGGCUGUUAAAUGAAAAAUAGUGUGAAUUUACAAAAAAAUUUUUUUUUAUCUUAACUCCUAAAUACCCAAAGAUUUUGGAAAUAUAUAUAAUGUUGCCCAGUUAUAACUACCAAUUUGGACGAAAUUUGAGAUUUUGCAUGGUUUUAUGGCA
rnacentral:lncRNA from 1 species